CAGUAGCCGCGGUAAUACGGAGGGAGCUAGCGUUGUUCGGAAUUACUGGGCGUAAAGCGCGCGUAGGCGGUUACUCAAGUCAGAGGUGAAAGCCCGGGGCUCAACCCCGGAACUGCCUUUGAAACUAGGUAACUAGAAUCUUGGAGAGGUCAGUGGAAUUCCGAGUGUAGAGGUGAAAUUCGUAGAUAUUCGGAAGAACACCAGUGGCGAAGGCGACUGACUGGACAAGUAUUGACGCUGAGGUGCGAAAGCGUGGGGAGCAAACAGGAUUAGAUACCCCGGUAGUCCCUGUCUCUUAUAC
rnacentral:rRNA from 1 species